rnacentral:rRNA from 1 species
AGCGGCUCGUUUGAGAGACACCCAAGUAGCACGGGGCCCGAGAAAUCCCGUGUGAAUCUGGCGGGACCACCCGCUAAGCCUAAAUAUUCCCUGGUGACCGAUAGCGGAUAGUACCGUGAGGGACUGGUGAAAAGUACCGCGGGAGCGGAGUGAAAUAGUACCUGAAACCGUGUGCCUACAAGCCGUGGGAGCGUCGGACAUCAAGCUUGCUUGGUGUCUCGUGACUGCGUGCCUUUUGAAGAAUGAGCCUG